GACGAACGCUGGCGGCGUGCUUAACACAUGCAAGUCGAACGGAAAGGCCUGCUUUCCCUUGUGGAUUGCGGGUACUCGAGUGGCGAACGGGUGAGUAACACGUGUGUGAUUUGCCCCCAACUUGGGUAUAAGCCUGGGAAACUGGGUCUCAUUACCGAUAGGACUGCAGGGUGGUGCCUGUGGUGGAAACCGAUUUUCUAGUGGUUGGGGAUGCGCUCGCGGCCUUUCAGCUUGUUGGUGGGGUAAUGGCCCACCAGGGCGGCGACGGGGAGCCGGCCGGAGAGGGGGGACGGCCGCAUUGGGACUGGGAUACGGCCCAGACUGGUACGGGAAGCAGCAAUGGGUAAUCAAUCGCAGUAGGCCGAAGCCAGAUGCAGCGACGGCGCGUAGAGGAUGACGGCCUUCGGAUUGUAAACUCCUUGCGACCACGAGGAAGCCACCUAGUUGGAAGGGUGGUGACGGUAGUGAUAGAAGAAGCACCGGCUAACUACGUG
rnacentral:rRNA from 1 species